rnacentral:rRNA from 1 species
UGCGUAGGCGGAUUAAUAAGUCAGUGGUGAAAACCUGCAGCUUAACUGUAGACUUGCCAUUGAUACUGUUAGUCUUGAGUACGGUCAAGGUAGGCGGAAUGUGUAAUGUAGCGGUGAAAUGCUUAGAUAUUACACAGAACACCGAUUGCGAAGGCAGCUUACUGGGCCAUUACUGACGCUGAGGCACGAAAGCGUGGGGAGCGAACAGGAUUAGAUACCCGAGUAGUCC